UGAAAAUUGGGCUCUUUCUAUUGUUUUGUAAUAAAUGUAGUUGGAAAAAGACACUUAUUUGCCAGGAACAAAAUCGUGUUACACAGUGUUAGGGGAAAUAAUUUA